rnacentral:rRNA from 1 species
AGCGAACGCUGGCGGCAGGCUUAACACAUGCAAGUCGAGCGGGCGUAGCAAUACGUCAGCGGCAGACGGGUGAGUAACGCGUGGGAACAUACCUUUUGGUUCGGAACAACCCAGGGAAACUUGGGCUAAUACCGGAUAAGCCCUUACGGGGAAAGAUUUAUCGCCGAAAGAUUGGCCCGCGUCUGAUUAGCUAGUUGGUG